AGAGUUUGAUCAUGGCUCAGAUUGAACGCUGGCGGCAGGCCUAACACAUGCAAGUCGAACGGUAACAGGAAGCAGCUUGCUGCUUUGCUGACGAGUGGCGGACGGGUGAGUAAUGUCUGGGAAACCACCUGAUGGAGGGGGAUAACUACUGGAAACGGUAGCUAAUACCGCAUAACGUCGCAAGACCAAAGAGGGGGACCUUCGGGCCUCUUGCCAUCGGAUGUGCCCAGAUGGGAUUAGCUAGUAGGUGGGGUAACGGCUCACCUAGGCGACGAUCCCUAGCUGGUCUGAGAGGAUGACCAGCCACACUGGAACUGAGACACGGUCCAGACUCCUACGGGAGGCAGCAGUGGGGAAUAUUGCACAAUGGGCGCAAGCCUGAUGCAGCCAUGCCGCGUGUAUGAAGAAGGCCUUCGGGUUGUAAAGUACUUUCAGCGGGGAGGAAGGCGAUAAGGUUAAUAACCUUGUCGAUUGACGUUACCCGCAGAGGAAGCACCGGCUAACUCCGUGCCAGCAGCCGCGGUAAUACGGAGGGUGCAAGCGUUAAUCGGAAUUACUGGGCGUAAAGCGCACGCAGGCGGUCUGUCAAGUCGGAUGUGAAAUCCCCGGGCUCAACCUGGGAACUGCAUUCGAAACUGGUAGGCUAGAGUCUUGUAGAGGGGGGUAGAAUUCCAGGUGUAGCGGUGAAAUGCGUAGAGAUCUGGAGGAAUACCGGUGGCGAAGGCGGCCCCCUGGACA
rnacentral:rRNA from 1 species